ensembl:snRNA U2 U2 spliceosomal RNA
AUCUCUUCUCAGCCUUUUGGCUAAGAUCAAGUGUAGUUUGAUAUCUUUACUGGUUAUGGUACCAUUUAAAUUUUUGAUUAAGAAAAUUCAU